UGGAGUUAGUGCUGGUUGCAGCUACUGGCCCUUUGCGACGUCUUGAUAUCAGUUUGGGAUAAUAGCUGGACUCUGGGGAAUCCUCACUCACACUUGAGACAGGUCGGCCAGUUUGUCCAGACAGGAUGCCCUUCACGCUUGAAGGUCACGAGAAACAUUUAUCAAGUAAGUUUCAUCAUUAUCAAGUAAUGACGAAACCAUGUAAAAACAGGUACAAUAGCCGCAAGGGUUAAGAGGUGGGUCAGGGUGAGGAAAAAUCGUAUAAAAGGAAAGAAAUAUCGUAGAAAAGUCGACAGGGAUUAGUUGAGUGAUUGUCUCCGACGCGGCAACAACUGCCGUGCAUUAUUUGCCAUCAGCUGCACCAGGCUGCAUUCUUUGUCACGUUAUCAGUUCGCAAUCAUGGACUUAUUAAAGGAGAGAGAAAUGUGAAAGAUAUCAGUCGAGAUUUCCGACACGGCAACAACUGCAGCGCACUAUAUGUCACCAGCUGCAUUCUUCAUUGUAUUAUCAUUUCGCAAUCAUGGUAAACUAUGGCGUCGUGCUGCUGUUGGGUGUUGAAUCGUU